AGGGUAUUAGUUUAAUAAAAAUAUCUGCUUUGCAUGUAGAAGAUUUUAUACUCUG
rnacentral:tRNA from 1 species